rnacentral:rRNA from 1 species
GAGGAAAAGAAACCAACCGGGAUUGCCUUAGUAACGGCGAGUGAAGCGGCAAAAGCUCAAAUUUGAAAUCUGGUACCUUCGGUGCCCGAGUUGUAAUUUGGAGAGGGCAACUUUGGGGCCGUUCCUUGUCUAUGUUCCUUGGAACAGGACGUCAUAGAGGGUGAGAAUCCCGUGUGGCGAGGAGUGCGGUUCUUUGUAAAGUGCCUUCGAAGAGUCGAGUUGUUUGGGAAUGCAGCUCUAAGUGGGUGGUAAAUUCCAUCUAAAGCUAAAUAUUGGCGAGAGACCGAUAGCGAACAAGUACAGUGAUGGAAAGAUGAAAAGAACUUUGAAAAGAGAGUGAAAAAGUACGUGAAAUUGUUGAAAGGGAAGGGCAUUUGAUCAGACAUGGUGUUUUGUGCCCUCUGCUCCUUGUGGGUAGGGGAAUCUCGCAUUUCACUGGGCCAGCAUCAGUUUUGGUGGCAGGAUAAAUCCAUAGGAAUGUAGCUUGCCUCGGUAAGUAUUAUAGCCUGUGGGAAUACUGCCAGCUGGGACUGAGGACUGCGACGUAAGUCA